CCUACGGGGCGCAGCAGUGAGGAAUAUUGGUCAAUGGACGAGAGUCUGAACCAGCCAAGUAGUGUGAAGGAUGACUGCCCUAUGGGUUGUAAACUUCUUUUAUAUGGGAAUAAAAUGUUCCACGUGUGGGAUUUUGUAUGUACCAUAUGAAUAAGGAUCGGCUAACUCCGUGCCAGCAGCCGCGGUAAUACGGAGGAUCCGAGCGUUAUCCGGAUUUAUUGGGUUUAAAGGGAGCGUAGGUGGAUUGUUAAGUCAGUUGUGAAAGUUUGCGGCUCAACCGUAAAAUUGCAGUUGAAACUGGCAGUCUUGAGUACAGUAGAGGUGGGCGGAAUUCGUGGUGUAGCGGUGAAAUGCUUAGAUAUCACGAAGAACUCCGAUUGCGAAGGCAGUUCACUGGACUGCAACUGACACUGAGGCUCGAAAGUGUGGGUAUCAAACAGGAUUAGAUACCCCGGUAGUC
rnacentral:rRNA from 1 species